ensembl:lncRNA
AGACUGAAACAUUCAUUUUGUUGAUUAUAGUCCAGGGUCACCCUUCAUUUAACAUGGUGUUGAUUUCUGCUGCUGCUGCUGGAUCUCUGUUGAUUGUAGCUGCAGUCGUGAUGUGCUGCAUCUGCAGGAAAUGUAGAAAAAAUGACCAAGAAGUUGAGACUCAUGAAGAAGAGAUCACUUAUGCUGAGCCGACAUUCCACAAAAGAAAAGCACAGAAAUCAGAAAUUAAAGAAGAAGAUAAUGUGGAAUAUGCUCCCAUCACCAUGAGAAGAUGAUCAAACUUUAAUCCAGUUCCAGUGGCACUAAUUCUGUCAAAACAUUUUGUACACAGUCAAGUUUUUGAAUUUAGAUGUAAUCAUCAAAUAUUGAGUCAAAAUGAACUAUGCUUUUGUCUCAUCUAAGUGUACAGAGAUGUGGUUUGACCUGCUGGGUGGACAAAUGCUAUUUCUGGAUGUUUGUGGCUGAUGUCAGUUUAUGUGUGUUUGUCUUGAGAUGUGUCAGUAGCGUGUGGUUUAAAGGUGUUUUUCCAUUCCUGCCAAUCUGAUGCUCACAGUUUGACUUCUGCUCUACACAAAACAGAUUCACUAAAUACUGAACCCAUCAAUGAUCUCUGACAGAUAAAUAAUCCAGCAUCUGAAUCAGAAAGAACUUCAUUGCCAAGUAUGCUUGUGCAUACAAGGAAUUUAUUUUAGUGACAUAAGCUUCCAGUGCACAGAGACAACAACACACAGACAAAAAUUUUUUUUAAAAAAAAUCUAAUAAAUAAUUUGUAUAAACAGUUGUGCUAUAGAUG